rnacentral:rRNA from 1 species
GACGAACGCUGGCGGCGUGCUUAACACAUGCAAGUCGAACGGAAAGGCCCUGCUAGCGUGCGGUGCCCGAGUGCCGAACGGGUGAGUAAGACGUGAGUAACCUGCCCUUGACUUUGGGAUAACUUAAGGAAGCUGGGGCUACUAUCGUACAGGAGCUCCCGCUGCAUGGUGGGGGGUGGAACGUUUCGGCGGUCGGGGAUGGACGCGCGGCUGAUCGGCUUGUUGGUGGGCUAGUGGCUUACCAAGGAAUGGGCGGGUAGCCGGCCUGAGAGGGUGACCGGCCACAAUGGGACUGAGGUAGGGCGCAGACUCCUACGGGAGGCAGCAGGGGCGAAUAUUACCCAGUGGGCGGAAGCCUGAUGCAGCAACGCCGCGGGCGGGAUGACGGCCUUCGGGUAGUAAACCGCUUUCGCCUGUGACGAAGCUUGUGUGACGGUAAUGGGUAAAGAAGCACCGGCUAACUACGUG